AGCGACGCCGCGUGUGGGAAGAAGGCCUUCGGGUUGUAAACCACUGUCGGGAGUUAAGAAGUGAAGGGGGGUUAAUAGUCUCCUUACCUGACGUUAGCUCCGGAGGAAGCCACGGCUAACACUGUGCCAGCAGCCGCGGUAAUACAGAGGUGGCAAGCGUUGUUCGGAAUUAUUGGGCGUAAAGAGCACGCAGGCGGCCCUGCAAGUCUGCUGUGAAAUGCUUCUGCUCAACGGAAGAACGGCAGUUGAUACUAUAGGGCUCGAGUACGGGAGGGGAGAGUGGAACUUCUGGUGGAGCGGUGAAAUGCGUAGAUAUCAGAAGGAACGCCGGCGGCGAAAGCGACUCUCUGGUCCGAAACUGACGCUGAGUGUGCGAAAGCUAGGGGAGCAAACGGGAUUAGAUACCCCGGUAGUCCUAGCCGUAAACGAUGGGCACUAAUUAGAGGGGUUUUAA
rnacentral:rRNA from 1 species